rnacentral:rRNA from 1 species
UACAGAGGGUGCGAGCGUUGUCCGGAAUCACUGGGCGUAAAGGGCGCGUAGGUGGUGGCUUAAGCGUGCGGUGAAAGCUCGGGGCUCAACUCCGAGUCGGCCGUGCGAACUGGGCUCACUGGAGCAUAGUAGAGGCAGGUGGAAUUCCGGGUGUAGCGGUGGAAUGCGUAGAGAUCCGGAAGAACACCGGUGGCGAAGGCGGCCUGCUGGGCUAUGGCUGACACUGAGGCGCAACAGCGUGGGGAGCAAACAGG